rnacentral:rRNA from 1 species
AACGGAGGACACAAGCGGUAUCCGGAAUUACUGGGCGUAAAGCGCCCGCAGGCGGAGGGUUAAGUCACUGGUGAAAGGGCACGGCUAAACUGUGCGAGGGCAGGGGAUACUGAUUCACUAGAGGGAGGUAGAGGCGGGGGGAAUUCCGGGUGUAGUGGUGAAAUGCGUAGAGAUGCGGAGGAACACCUGAGGCGAAGGCGGGUCGCUGGGUCUCACCUGACGCUGAGAUGCGAAAGCAUGGGGAGCGAAUGGG